rnacentral:rRNA from 1 species
ACGCUCGACACCUACGGGAGGCAGCAGUGGGGAAUAUUGCACAAUGGGGGAAACCCUGAUGCAGCAACGCCGCGUGAAGGAAGACGGUUUUCGGAUUGUAAACUUCUGUUCUUAGUGAAGAUAGUGACGGUAGCUAAGGAGCGAGCCACGGCUAACUACGUGUCAGCAGCCGCGGUAAUCUGAGCGGGCUGGCAAGGC